UUCCGGUUGAUCCUGCCGGACCCGACUGCUAUUUGGGUGAGAAUAAGCCAUGCGAGUUGAAUGGGAUACCUAAAGUUCCCAUAGCAAACUGCUCAGUAACACAUGAUCAACUUACCCUAUAGAGAAAAAUAACCUCGGGAAACUGAGGAUAAUGUUUCACAAUUGAAUUGGCUUGGAAAAGUUUUUCAAUGAAAAGGAUAAAAAAAAAUGGUUUUUAUCUGCUAUAGGAUAGGAUCGUGUUCGAUUAUGGUUGUUGGUGAGAUAAUGGCUCACCAAGCCGAUAAUCGAUAGGGGCCGUGAGAGCGGGAGCCCCGAGAUGGGUACUGAGACAACGACCCAGGCCUUACGAGGCGCAGCAGGCGCGGAACCUCCGCAAUACACGAAAGUGUGACGGGGUUACCCAAAGUGUUCAAUAGAACUGUGGUAGGUGAGUAAUGUCCCCUACUAGAAAGGAGAGGGCAAGGCUGGUGCCAGCCGCCGCGGUAAAACCAGCUCUUCAAGUGGUCGGGAUAAUUAUUGGGCUUAAAGUGUCCGUAGCCGGUUUAGUAAGUUCCUGGUAAAAUCGGGUAGCUUAACUAUCUGCAUGCUAGGAAUACUGCUAUACUGGAGGGCGGGAGAGGUCUGAGGUACUACAGGGGUAGGGGUGAAAUCUUAUAAUCCUUGUAGGACCACCAGUGGCGAAGGCGUCAGACUGGAACGCGCCUGACGGUGAGGGACGAAAGCCAGGGGAGCGAACCGGAUUAGAUACCCGGGUAGUCCUGGCCGUAAACGAUGCACACUAGGUGAUGGUACGGCCAUGAGCCGUAUCAGUGCCGUAGGGAAACCGUUAAGUGUGCCGCCUGGGAAGUACGGUCGCAAGGCUAAAACUUAAAGGAAUUGGCGGGGGAGCACCACAAGGGGUGAAGCCUGCGGUUCAAUUGGAGUCAACGCCGGGAAUCACUAGUGCGGCC
rnacentral:rRNA from 1 species